rnacentral:rRNA from 1 species
UACGGAGGGUGCGAGCGUUGUCCGGAAUCACUGGGCGUAAAGGGCGCGUAGGUGGCGCGGGCAGUCAACGGUGAAAGUUCGGGGCUCAACCCUGAAUCGGCCGUCGAUACUCCCGUGCUUGAGCACUGUAGAGGCAGAUGGAAUUCCGGGUGUAGCGGUGGAAUGCGUAGAGAUCCGGAAGAACACCGGUGGCGAAGGCGGUCUGCUGGGCAGUUGCUGACACUGAGGCGCGAAAGCGUGGGGAGCAAACAGG